GGAGAAGAUCAGAUGAUCGCGGGUGGAUGAAAUCCGCCGGAGGAAAGUCCGAGCUCCACAGGGCAGGAUGGUCGCUAACGGCGACUGGGGGCAACUCUAAGGAAAGUGCCACAGAAAAUAAACCGCCUGGACGCAAGUCCGGGCAAGGGUGAAAUGGCGAGGUAAGAGCUCACCGCUUUUCCGGUGACGGAAAAGGCAGGGCAAACCCCAUCCGGAGCAAGACCAAAUAGGAGAACGUUUAAGGGCGGCCCGCCUGAUGUUCUCGGGUAGUGUCGCUAGAGGCGUCUGGCAACCGACGUCCCAGAUGAAUGAUCAUCACCGCAUCCAUGGGUAACCGGCGUGCGGAACAGAACUCGGCUUAUGAUCUUCUCCGUUC
rnacentral:RNase_P_RNA from 1 species